rnacentral:rRNA from 1 species
GACAGAGGUGCCGAGCGUUAUGCGGAAUCACUGGGCUUAAAGCGUGUGUAGGCGGGUCGUUAAGUGCCUUGUGAAAUCCCACAGCUCACCUGUGGAACUGCUUGGCAUACUGGCGAUCUUGAGCCACUUAGGGGCAACCGGAACAAACGGUGGAGCGGUGAAAUGCGUAGAUAUCGUUUGGAACGCCAAUGGUGAAAACAGGUUGCUGGGAGUGUGCUGACACUGAAGAACGAAAGCCAGGGGAGCAAACGGG